UACGAAGGGGGCUAGCGUUGCUCGGAAUCACUGGGCGUAAAGCGCACGUAGGCGGCUUUCUAAGUCAGGGGUGAAAUCCUGGAGCUCAACUCCAGAACUGCCUUUGAUACUGGAGAGCUUGAGUCCGGGAGAGGUGAGUGGAACUCCGAGUGUAGAGGUGAAAUUCGUAGAUAUCAGGAGGAACACCGGUGGUGUAGACGGCUCACUGGACCGUAACUGACGCUGAGACACGAAAGCGGUGGGUAGCAAACAGG
rnacentral:rRNA from 1 species